rnacentral:rRNA from 1 species
UCCGAAGGGGGCUAGCGUUGUUCGGAUUUACUGGGCGUAAAGGGCGCGUAGGCGGCGCAUCAAGUCAGGCGUGAAAGCCCCGGGCUUAACCUGGGAAUUGCGCUUGAUACUGAUGUGCUAGAGAGCGGGAGAGGAUGGCGGAAUUCCCAGUGUAGAGGUGAAAUUCGUAGAUAUUGGGAAGAACACCGGUGGCGAAGGCGGCCAUCUGGACCGUUUCUGACGCUGAGGCGCGAAAGCGUGGGGAGCAAACAGG